GAUGAACGCUGGCGGCGUGCCUAAUACAUGCAAGUCGAGCGAACAGACGAGGAGCUUGCUCCUCUGACGUUAGCGGCGGACGGGUGAGUAACACGUGGAUAACCUACCUAUAAGACUGGGAUAACUUCGGGAAACCGGAGCUAAUACCGGAUAAUAUAUUGAACCGCAUGGUUCAAUAGUGAAAGACGGUUUUGCUGUCACUUAUAGAUGGAUCCGCGCCGCAUUAGCUAGUUGGUAAGGUAACGGCUUACCAAGGCAACGAUGCGUAGCCGACCGGAGAGGGUGCUCGGCCACCCUGGAACGGAGACACGGCCCAGACUCCUACGGGAGGCAGCAGUAGGGAAUCUUCCGCAAUGGGCGAAAGCCUGACGGAGCAACGCCGCGUGAGUGAUGAAGGUCUUCGGAUCGUAAAACUCUGUUAUUAGGGAAGAACAAAUGUGUAAGUAACUAUGCACGUCUUGACGGUACCUAAUCAGAAAGCCACGGCUAACUACGUG
rnacentral:rRNA from 1 species